rnacentral:rRNA from 1 species
CCUACGGGGGGCAGCAGUGAGGAAUAUUGGUCAAUGGCCGGAAGGCUGAACCAGCCAAGCCGCGUGAAGGACGAAGGUGCCAAGCAUUGUAAACUUCUUUUGUCAAGGGACAAAAUCAGGCUCGAGAGCCUGAUCGAGGGUACUUGAAGAAAAAGCAUCGGCUAACUCCGUGCCAGCAGCCGCGGUAAUACGGAGGAUGCGAGCGUUAUCCGGAUUUAUUGGGUUUAAAGGGUGCGUAGGCGGACUGUUAAGUCAGCGGUAAAAGCCCGGGGCUCAACCCCGGCGAGCCGUUGAAACUGGCGGUCUUGAGAUGUCGAGAGGUAUGCGGAAUGCGCAGUGUAGCGGUGAAAUGCUUAGAUAUUGCGCAGAACUCCGAUUGCGAAGGCAGCAUACCGGCGGCGAUCUGACGCUGAGGCACGAAAGCGUGGGUAUCGAACAGGAUUAGAUACCCUAGUAGUC